rnacentral:rRNA from 1 species
CUACGGGAUGCUGCAGUGGGGAAUAUUGGACAAUGGGGGAAACCCUGCUCCAGCAAUGCCGCGUGUGUGAAGAAGGCCUGCGGGUUGUAAAGCACUUUCGGUUGGGAGGACUGCUUCUAGCACUAAUAUUGUUGGAAGUUGACGUUACCUUCAGAAGAAGCACCGGCUAACUCCGUGCCAGCAGCCGCGGUAAUACGGAGGUGGCAAGCGUUAAUCGGAAUUACUGGGCGUAAAGCGCGCGUAGGCGGCUAGAUCAGUCGGGUGUGAAAGCCCCGGGCUUAACCUGGGAACUGCAUCCGAUACUGUCUAGCUUGAGUACAGGAGAGGAGAGUGGAAUUCCACAUGUAGCGGUGAAAUGCGUAGAUAUGUGGAGGAACACCAAUGGCGAAGGCAGCUCUCUGGCCUGAUACUGACGCUGAGGUGCGAAAGCGUGGGGAGCAAACAGGAUUAGAUACCCCAGUAGUC